ACUCGCUAAGCCAACACCGCGAGACACACACAAGCCUUCAAUGGAGAAAGAUUUGCUAUCCCACAGUUCUCUUUCUUUGUAACUUAACCUGCUCAUGAAAAAAAAUUAUAAUUUACACCAGCCCCGACCAUGGCCAAGCCUUGUGGAGGCAAAACGCGCGGUAUAAUUAAAGAAAGAUUUGACAAUAGAAGAAAGGAAGUCGGGGAACGCGGAAGAAGUUCUCGAUAUCGCCGCCUCUCUCCAUCAAACAGACCGCGGCUGCUCUGCGCGCGCACCCUGCCACCGACGCCAUCUUGCCUGUGCAACCACGGCCCGGAGUAAGUGUUUACAGUUGUUUGUUAUUACCUGUGAGGACCAUGUGGGCAUCCUCGGGCCAUGCCUCCCUCCCGCGGCCUCCCCCUCGCAGUCGCAGGCCCUAAUCCACCCUCUAAAGCCCCAGCUGACGUGAUGAGGACGACCACCAGCACCACCACCACCACCACCACUAGCACCGCCAGCAGCACCUCCUCCCUCAAGGCCACGACCAGCACGACCCGGCCAGCCUCCCGCCACACCACCCCAGCCAGGAGACACACUGCCUCUCACCUGCGGAUACAGAAGACGUCAAGAUUAUCAGAAAAUAUCCAAGACAAUCACACGUUUAAAUCCUACACCCCGCAUCCUUCCCCUCCCCCUCCUGGAUCCUCUCGGCCUGCUUGGGAGUCCUUCCUCAGGGUUCUCAGCCAACACUCAUGUUCUCUAUUGGUGCAGAAAUUCAUAUAUAUAUUUUGUUUUUCAUAAUUCAGAAACCUCCACGUAAAUUCUAUUAUUAGUGUGCAAAAUUAAUUUCCCUCACCUUUCCACAUAAUUAAGUGUUACAUUGUCUCAACAUUUUCUCUCGAUUUAUUGUAAAUGUGAAUUAAUAUAAAGUAUUAUUGAGCUUAAGUGAUAAUCAUAUAAGUUUGUCAAAAUAUAUUACGUUUCAGUGGAUUAUUUUCCAUUUCUUCUUUAAAUCGUGGCACAUGUUUCUUGCUUAAUGACGAGCAUCCAAAAUGAGAUCCUACGAGUGUCGGUUUAGGAGGAGAGACCCUUCCCUCGCCUGGCCUAACACACCCCCUAACACCCUACUAACACCAAAGUUAAUGCUCUACAUCUACCCUGUAGAUCCGAAUUUGUGAGAUAAUUGUUAACAAAUUCGGUUCUAGAGAGGUUUGUGUGGGGCAUACAUGGCAACUGUCUAACACACAUUAGUCUAAGUCUCCCGUGUGGCGUGAAGCUGAGGUGCCUCUAUUUCAGUCAAGUUAUCAGGAUGUGUGUGUGUGUGUGUGUGUGUGUGUGUGUGUGUGUGUGUGUGUGUGUGUGUGUGUGUGUGUGUGUGUGUGUGUGUGUGUGUGUGUGUGUGUGUGUGUGUGUGUGU